rnacentral:rRNA from 1 species
CCUACGGGUGGCUGCAGUAGGGAAUCUUCCUCAAUGGACGCAAGUCUGACGGAGCAACGCCGCGUGAGUGAAGAAGGUUUUCGGAUCGUAAAACUCUGUUUUUAGAGAAGAACAAGUGCGAGAGUAACUGUUAGCGCCUUGACGGUAUCUAACCAGAAAGCCACGGCUAACUACGUACCAGCAGCCGCGGUAAUACGUAGGUGGCAAGCGUUGUCCGGAUUUAUUGGGCGUAAAGCGAGCGCGGGCGGUCCCUUAAGUCUGAUGUGAAAGCCUGCGGCUUAACCGGGGAAGGGCAUUGGAAACUGGGGGACUUGAGUGCAGAAGAGGAGAGUGGAAUGCCAUGUGUAGCGGUGAAAGGCGUAGAUAUAUGGAAGAACACCAGUGGCGAAGGCGGCUCUCUGGUCUGUAACUGACGCUGAGGCUCGAAAGCGUGGGUAGCAAACAGGAUUAGAUACCCGUGUAGUC